CCGGUCCGUGAGUCCUGCUGGGAGCUUUGGGAGCAGGACGGGAAUCCGCGGGGGUCCUGCACCCCCCUGAGCCGCGUCCCUGCAGGUGUGCACGGUCACUGAGCAGGACUCACAUCUGUGACUGGCGGCUUCGGGCUGGGCAAGGGAGGGAGAGCAGUUGUGAGAAUACUUGGAAAAGCCUGCCAGGAAACAGGCCCUGUUCUUCCCCAGCUCGGUUGGAAGCCACAGUGGAUUGCACAGCCUUGGGAAUGAAACUCAUCUCGAGGAAUUGCCAUUCUGAGAGGUGCAGGAACUGUGUUUUGGCAGCAAACCGUGGCCUCGUGGAGGAGGAGGAGGAGCAGGGCUGGCUGGGCAGCAGUGGGAGUGCUGGGCGCCUCCUGCUCAUUCCCUUCCCUGCUGGGCCCGGGAACGUGGAGCAGUGCUCAGCUGGAUCACAGAGGGGAUUUUAAUUGAAUUUCUUGUUAGAUUAUUUAUUUACCCCUUUGCACAGCAGCUCUCUGCAAGCCCCCAGUGCCCCUUGGGUGGUCCCUUCCAACAGGAGCAGUGCAGGGGGAGCUGGAGGGAGCUGGGCCUUUCCUUGGGGGGGCAGGGAUACACCUACCCAUGUGGGAAGUCCAAGGCAGCAAUCCCCCUGUCUGCAGUUUCCUCUCAGGAGGGGAUGGAGCAGUAAAUGUGUGAUGGAGGAGCCUCCUGACGUCACUUAAUCUGGGAUGCCUUGAUGAUCUUGGAGCAGAACCUCAUCCCAAAGGGUGGAAGAAGGGAAAGGAAUUUACUUUUCUGUUGCCUGCAGAAAAGCUGUGGGCUGCCUGGGUAUGUUGGUACACUGUGAUUCCAGGUGAGGGCUCUUCCCUUCUCCUCCUCCAGGCAUGGGAAUGAUCUCUGGUGACAGUACAGGGGAGCUGUAUUAUCCUUCAGAGAGUUGUGGUUCAUGAUCUGCCCAGUUUUGGGUGGUUGAAAAGGAGCCGUUUUCCCCGAGGUUAUCCCUGUGCUCCUGGAAAUCCUGCUGCUGGUCCUGCUGGGAGCUGUGCUGGUGGCUCCUGUCCCACCGUGGCUCUCCAGGGUCAGUGCCAGGCUUGGACACCUUCAGCUGCUGGACUGUGCCCAGCCUGGCAUUCUGCUUCUCAGAGCCCUAAUUACACAGGCCAAUUAGUGUAGAAAAAGCUGUUUCCUUCAUUAAUUAGCUUUGCUUUCAAUCCAGAGAAGGGGAAAUGAACUUUUGGGCAGGUGGAGCCAGCGGGAGAGCUGUGGUGCUUCCUGGGCAGCUCUGGGAUUCCCACUGGAACUGCCUCUUUGGGAACUGGGGGGGUUCAUUUUCCUGGGUGGUCUGGCUGGCUGGAGCCCCACUGUGGAUACCUGCAGGGGCAGUGUUGGAACCUGCUGGAAACAGGACACUGGAUGUUACCUGAUGUCAGGUGAAGGUCUGGGAAUCCCCCCAGCCUCAGGACCUGCUGCUUCCCCCUCCUGCCCUCAGGCCUUAUUUGCUGCUGGAAUUUGGGGGUGUUUUGUGUCCCUGAGCCAUCUGCUCCCCUCCUGUGGCUGAGGGGAGGCUCUCUGGAGCACUUUAAUUUUCCCUUGCCUUCCUUUCACCCAGUCCCUGCAGUCCUGCCUCACUUGGUUCCUGGCAGCUCCAUGGCUCUGGCAGGGCAGUUUUAGGAGCUGAUGCUGGAGACUCUUUGGUGAUGCCAUUCAUUGCUCCAUCACUCCUGCAGCACAUGGGAGCUUUGAGCAGCUCCUGCCUCAAACUGAG